AAAAAGACAAAUCCUGGUUUCCGUGUCCAACGUUUGACCGUCCGUCUUAUUGGAAAAAAUUAUGAAAAAAGAAAUAAAAGGAGAAGUCACGCAUAAAAUAAAAUAUUAAUCAUGUUUUAUCAUCUAACAACAAUGAAAAUACGAAUUAUAAAAAAAUUUCAUAUAAGACGGACAGUCAAAGUUGGACACGGAAACCCAGGAUUUGUCUUUUU
rfam:Oryza sativa (indica cultivar-group) chromosome 1, whole genome shotgun sequence.